rnacentral:lncRNA from 1 species
AAACGGGUGGGCUAUAGCCUUGGUGGGGGGCGCGGGCGAAGUUCGUCCGCCGGGCUCGGAAUGGGGCGAGACUUUGCGAGGGGCCUCGAGGCGCCAAAAUUAAACCGCGUGCAAAGCCGCAUCCAAAAACAAGCACCCGAAGGUGGUGGUGCCAGAACCCCCCAGCGGAAAAAUGGCCAAAAAACGGGUGGGCUAUAGCCUUGGUGGGGGGCGCGGGCGAAGUUCGUCCGCCGGACUCGGAAUGGGGCGAGACUUUCCGAGGGGCCUCGGGGUGCCAAAAAUAAGCCGCGGGCAAAGCCGCGCCCAAAAAUAAGCGCCCGAAGCUCGUGGUGCCAAAACCCCCCAGCGGAAAAAUGGCCAGAAAACGGGUGGGCUAUUGCCUUGGUGGGGGGCGCGGGCGAAGUUCGUCCGCCGGACUCGGAAUGGGGCGAGACUUCGCGAGGGGCCUCGGGGCGCCACAAAUAAGCCGCGGGCAAAGCCACGCCCAAAAAUAAGUGCCCGAAAGUCGUGGUGCCAAAACCCCCGAGCGGAAAAAAGGGCAAAAAACGGGUGGGCUAUAGCCUUGGUGGGGGGCGCGGGCGAAGUUCGUCCGCCGGACUCGGAAUGGGGCGAGACUUUGCGAGGGGUCUCAGGGUGCCAAAAAUAAGCCGCGGGCAAAGCCGCGCCCGAAGGUCGUGGUGCAAAAACCCCCCAGCGGAAAAAUGGCCAAAAAACGGGUGGGCUAUAGCCUUGGUGGGGGGCGCGGGCGAAGUUCUUCCGCCGGGCUCGGAAUGGGGCGAGACUUUGCGAGGGGCCUCGGAACGCCAAAAAUAAACCGCGUGCAAAGCCGCGCCCAAAAAUAAGCGCCCGAAGGUGGUGGUGCCAGAACCCCCCAGCGGAAAAAUGGCCAAAAAACGGGUGGGCUAUAGCCUUGGUGGGGGGCGCGGGCGAAGUUCGUCCGCCGGACUCGGAAUGGGGCGAGACUUUGCGAGGGGCCUCGGGGUGCCAAAAAUAAGCCGCGGGCAAAGCCGCACCCAAAAAUAAGCGCCCGAAGGUCGUGGUGCCAAAACCCCCCAGCGGAAAAAUGGCCAGAAAACGGGUGGGCUAUAGCCUUGGUGGGGGGCGCGGGCGAAGUUCGUCCGCCGGACUCGGAAUGGGGCGAGACUUUGCGAGGGGCCUCGGGGCGCCAAAAAUAAGCCGCGGGCAAAGCCGCGCCCAAAAAUAAUCGCCCGAAGGUCAUGGUGCCAAAACCCCCCAGCGGAAAAAUGGCCAAAAAACGGGUGGGCUAUAGCCUUGGUGGGGGGCGCGGGCGAAGUUCGUCCGCCGGACUCGGAAUGGGGCGAGACUUUGCGAGGGGCCUCGGGGUGCCAAAAAUAAGCCGCGGGCAGAGCCGCGCCCAAAAAUAAGCGCCCGAAGGUCGUGGUGCCAAAACCCCCCAGGGGAAAAUUGGCCAAAAAACGAGUGGGCUAUAGCCUUGGUGGGGGGCGCGGGCGAAGUUCGUCCGCCGGACUCGGAAUGGGGCGAGACUUUGCGAGGAGCCUCGGGGUGCCCGCGGGAAGUCGCGGGCACAGCCGCGUCCAAAAAUAAGCGCCCGAAGGUCGUGGUGCCAAAACCCCCCAGCGGAAAAAUGGCCAAAAAACGGGUGGGCUAUAGCCUUGGUGGGGGGCGCGGGCGAAGUUCGUCCGCCGGACUCGGAAUGGGGCGAGACUUUGCGAGGGGCCUCGAGGUGCCCGCGGGAAGUCGCGGGCACAGCCGCGUCCAGAAAUAAGCACCCGAAGGUCGUGGUGCCAAAACCCCCCAGCGGAAAAAUAGCCAAAAAACGGGUGGGCUAUAGCCUUGGUGGGGGGCGCGGGCGAAGUUCGUCCGCCGGACUCGGAAUGGGGCGAGACUUUGCGCGGGGCCUCGGGGCGCCAAAAAUAAGCCGCGGGCAAAGUCGCGCCCAAAAAUAAGCGCCCGAAGGUCGUGGUGCCAAAACCCCCCAGCGGAAAAAUGGCCAAAAAACGGGUGGGCUAUAGCCUUCGUGGGGGGCGCGGGCGAAGUUCGUCCGCCGGACUCGGAAUGGGGCGAGACUUUGCGCGGGGCCUCGGGGCACCAAAAAUAAGCCGCGGGCAAAGCCGCGCCCAAAAAUAAGCGACCGAAGGUCGUGGUGCCAAAACCCCCCAGCGGAAAAAUGGCCAAAAAACGGGUGGGCUAUAGCCUUGGUGGGGAGCGCGGGCGAAGUUCGUCCGCCGGACUCGGAAUGGGGCGAGACUUUGCGAGGGGCCUCGGGGUGCCAAAAAUAAGCCGCGGGCAAAGCCGCGCCCAAAAAUAAGCGCCCGAAGGUCUUGGUGCCAAAACACCCCAGCGGAAAAAUGGCCAAAAAACGGGUGGGCUAUAGCCUUGGUGGGGGGCGCGGGCGAAGUUCGUCCGCCGGACUCGGAAUGGGGCGAGACUUUGCGAGGGGCCUCGGGGUGCCCGCGGGAAGUUGCGGGCACAGCCGCGUCCAAAAAUAAGCGCCCGAAGGUCGUGGUGCCAAAACCCCCCAGCGGAAAAAUGGCCAAAAAACGGGUGGGCUAUAGCCUUGGUGGGGGGCGCGGGCGAAGUUCGUCCGCCGGACUCGGAAUGGGGCGAGACUUUCCGAGGGCCCUCGAGGUGCCCGCGGGAAGUCGCAGGCACAGCCGCGUCCAGAAAUAAGCACCCGAAGGUCGUGGUGCCAAAAUCCCCCAGCGGAAAAAUAGCCAAAAAACGGGUGGGCUAUAGCCUUGGUGGGGGGCGCGGGCGAAGUUCGUCCGCCGGACUCGGAAUGGGGCGAGACUUUGCGCGGGGCCUCGGGGCGCCAAAAAUACGCCGCGGGCAAAGUCGCGCCCAAAAAUAAGCGCCCGAAGGUCGUGGUGCCAAAACCCCCCAGCGGAAAAAUGGCCAAAAAACGGGUGGGCUAUAGCCUUCGUGGGGGGCGCGGGCGAAGUUCGUCCGCCGGACUCGGAAUGGGGCGAGACUUUGCGCGGGGCCUCGGGGCACCAAAAAUAAGCCGCGGGCAAAGCCGCGCCCAAAAAUAAGCGCCCGAAGGUCGUGGUGCCAAAACCCCCCAGCGGAAAAAUGGCCAAAAAACUGGUGGGCUAUAGCCUUGGUGGGGAGCGCGGGCGAAGUUCGUCCGCCGGACUCGGAAUGGGGCGAGACUUUGCGAGGGGCCUCGGGGUGCCAAAAAUAAGCCGCGGGCAAAGUCGCGCCCAAAAAUAAGCGCCCGAAGGUCUUGGUGCCAAAACCCCCCAGCGGAAAAAUGGCCAAAAAACGGGUGGGCUAUAGCCUUGGUGGGGGGCGCGGGCGAAGUUCGUCCGCCGGACUCGGAAUGGGGCGAGACUUUGCGAGGGGCCUCGAGGUGCCCGCGGGAAGUCGCGGGCACAGCCGCGUCCAGAAAUAAGCACCCGAAGGUUGUGGUGCCAAAACCCCCCAGCGGAAAAAUAGCCAAAAAACUGGUGGGCUAUAGCCUUGGUGGGGGGCGCGGGCGAAGUUUUUUCCCCGGACUCGAAUGGGGCGAGACUUUGCGAGGGCUUCGGGUGCCAAAAAUAAGCCGCGGGCAAAGUCGCGCCCAAAAUAAGCGCCGAAGGUCGUGGUGCCAAAACCCCCCAGCGGAAAAAUGGCCAAAAAACGGGUGGGCUAUAGCUUUGGUGGGGAGCGCGGGCGAAGUUCGUCCGCCGGACUCGGAAUGGGGCGAGACUUUGCGAGGGGCCUCGGGGUGCCAAAAAUAAGCCGCGGGCAAAGCCGCGCCCAAAAAUAAGCGCCCGAAGGUCUUGGUGCCAAAACCCCCCAGCGGAAAAAUGGCCAAAAAACGGGUGGGCUAUAGCCUUGGUGGGGGGCGCGGGCGAAGUUCGUCCGCCGGACUCGGAAUGGGGCGAGACUUUGCGAGGGGCCUCGGGGUGCCCGCGGGAAGUCGCGGGCACAGCCGCGUCCAAAAAUAAGCGCCCGAAGGUCGUGGUGCCAAAACCCCGCAGCGGAAAAAUGGCCAAAAAACGGGUGGGCUAUAGCCUUGGUGGGGGGCGCGGGCGAAGUUCGUCCGCCGGACUCGGAAUGGGGCGAGACUUUGCGAGGGGCCUCGGGGUGCCCGCGGGAAGUCGCGGGCACAGCCGCGUCCAAAAAUAAGCGCCCGAAGGUCGUGGUGCCAAAACCCCCCAGCGGAAAAAUGGCCAAAAAACGGGUGGGCUAUAGCCUUGGUGGGGGGCGCGGGCGAAGUUCGUCCGCCGGACUCGGAAUGGGGCGAGACUUUGCGAGGGGCCUCGAGGUGCCCGCGGGAAGUCGCGGGCACAGCCGCGUCCAGAAAUAAGCACCCGAAGGUCGUGGUGCCAAAACCCCCCAGCUGAAAAAUGGCCAAAAAACGGGUGGGCUAUAGCCUUGGUGGGGGGCGCAGGCGAAGUUCGUCCGCCGGACUCGGAAUGGGGCGAGACUUUGCGAGGGCCCUCGGGGUGCCAAAAAUAAGCCGCGGGGAAAGCCGCGCCCAAUGGUCGUGGUGCCAAAACCCCCCAGCGGAAAAAUGGCCAAAAAACGGGUGGGCUAUAGCCUUGGUGGGGGGCGCGGGCGAAGUUCGUCCGCCGGACUCGGAAUGGGGAGAGACUUUGCGAGGGGCCUCGGGGUGCCAGCGGGAAGUCGCGGGCACAGCCGCGUCCAAAAAUAAGCGCCCGAAGGUUGUGGUGACAAAACCCCCCAGCGGAAAAAUGGCCAAAAAACGGGUGGGCUAUAGCCUUGGUGGGGGGCGCGGGCGAAGUUCGUCCGCCGGACUCGAAUGGGGCGAGACUUUGCGAGGGGCCUCGGGGCGCCAAAAAUAAGCCGCGGGCAAAGCCGCGCCCAAAAAUAAUCGCCCGAAGGUCAUGGUGCCAAAACCCCCCAGCGGAAAAAUGGCCAAAAAACGGGUGGGCUAUAGCCUUGGUGGGGGGCGCGGGCGAACUUCGUCCGCCGGACUCGGAAUGGGGCGAGACUUUGCGAGGGGCCUCGGGGCGCCAAAAAUAAGCCGCGGGCAAAGCCGCGCCCAAAAAUAAGUGCCCGAAGGUCGUGGUGCCAAAACCCCCCAGCGGAAAAAAGGCCAAAAAACGGGUGGGCUAUAGCCUUGGUGGGGGGCGCGGGCGAAGUUCGUCCGCCGGACUCGGAAUGGGGCGAGACUUUACGAGGGGUCUCGGGGUGCCAAAAAUAAGCCUCGGGCAAAGCCGCGCCCAAAAAUAAGCGCCCGAAGGUCGUGGUGCAAAAACCCCCCAGCGGAAAAAUGGCCAAAAAACGGGUGGGCUAUAGCCUUGGUGGGGGGCGCGGGCGAAGUUCGUCCGCCGGGCUCGGAAUGGGGCGAGACUUUGCGAGGGGCCUCGGGGCGCCAAAAAUAAACCACGUGCAAAGCCGCACCCAUAAAUAAGCGCCCGAAGGUGGUGGUGCCAGAACCCCCCAGCGGAAAAAUGGCCAAAAAACGGGUGGGCUAUAGCCUUGGUGGGGGGCGCGGGCGAAGUUUGUCCGCCGGACUCGGAAUGGGGCGAGACUUUGCGAGGGGCCUCGGGGCGCCAAAAAUAAGCCACGGGCAAAGCCGCGCCCAAAAAUAAGCGCCCGAAGGUCAUGGUGCCAAAACCCCCCAGCGGAAAAAUGGCCAAAAAACGGGUGGGCUAUAGCCUUGGUGGGGGGCGCGGGCGAAGUUCGUCCGCCGGACUCGGAAUGGGGCGAGACUUUGCGAGGGGCCUCGGGGCGCCAAAAAUAAGCCGCGGGUAAAGCCGCGCCCAAAAAUAAGCACCCGAAGGUCGUGGUGCAAAAACCCCCCAGCGGAAAAAUGGCCAAAAAACGGGUGGGCUAUAGCCUUGGUGGGGGGCGCGGGCGAAGUUCAUCCGCCGGACUCGGAAUGGGGCGAGACUUUGCGAGGGGCCUCGGGGCGCCAAAAAUAAGCCGCGGGCAAAGCCGCGCCCAAAAAAAAGCGCCCGAAGGUCGUGGUGCAAAAACCCCCCAGCGGAAAAAUGGCCAAAAAACGGGUGGGCUAUAGCCUUGGUGGUGGGCGCGGGCGAAGUUCGUCCGCCGGAAUCGGAAUGGGGCGAGACUUUGCGAGGGGCCUCGGGGCGCCAAAAAUAAGCAGCGGGAAAAGCCGCGCCCAAAAAUAAGCGCCCGCAUGUCNNNNNNNNNNNNNNNNNNNNNNNNNNNNNNNNNNNNNNNNNNNNNNNNNNNNNNNNNNNNNNNNNNNNNNNNNNNNNNNNNNNNNNNNNNNNNNNNNNNNGCCUUGGUGGGGGGCGCGGGCGAAGUUCGUCCGCCGGACUCGGAAUGGGGCGAGUCUUUGCGAGGGGCCUCGGGGUGCCCGCAGGAAGUCGCGGGCACAGCCGCGCCCAAAAAUAAGCGCCCGAAGGUCGUGGUGCCAAAACCCCCCGGCGGAAAAAUGGCCAAAAAACGGGUGGGCUAUAGCCUUGGUGGGGGGAGCGGGCGAAGUUCGUCCGCCGGACUCGGAAUGGGGCGAGACUUUACGAGGGGCCUCGGGGUGCCAAAAAUAAGCCGCGGGCAGAGCCGCGCACAAAAAUAAGUGCCCGCAGGUCGUGGUGCCAAAACCCCCCUGCGGAAAAAUGGCCAAAAAACGGGUGGGCUAUAGCCUUGGUGGGGGGCACGGGCGAAGUUCGUCCGCCGGACUCGGAAUGGAGCGAGACUUUGCGAGGGGCCUCGGGGCGCCAAAAAUAAGCCGCGGGCAAAGCCGCGCCCAAAAAUAAGCGCCCGAAGGUCGUGGUGCCAAAACCCCCCAGCGGAAAAAUGGCCAAAAAACGGGUGGGCUAUAGCCUUGGUGGGGGGCGCGGGCGAAGUUCGUCCGCCGGACUCGGAAUGGGGCGAGACUUUGCGAGGGGCCUCGGGGUGCCAAAAAUAAGCGCCCGAAGGUCGUGGUGCCAAAACCCCCCAGCGGAAAAAUGGCCAAAAAACGGGUGGGCUAUAGACUUGGUGGGGGGCACGGGCGAAGUUCGUCCGCCGGACUCGGAAUGGGGCGAGACUUUGCGAGGGGCCUCGGGGCGCCAAUAAUAAGCCGCGGGCAAAGCCGCGCCCAAAAAUAAGUGCCCGAAGGUCGUGGUGCCUCAACCCCCCAGCGGAAAAAUGGCCAAAAAACGGGUGGGCUAUAGCCUUGGUGGGGGGCGCUGGCGAAGUUCGUCCGCCGGACUCGGAAUGGGGCGAGACUUUGCGAGGGGCCUCGGGGUGCCCGCGGGAAGUCGCGGGCACGGCCGCACCAAAAAAUAAGCGCCCGAAGGUCGUGGUGCCAAAACCCCCCAGCGGAAAAAUGGCCAAAAAACGGGUGGGCUAUAGCCUUGGUGGGGGGCGCGGGCGAAGUUCGUCCGCCGGACUCGGAAUGGGGCGAGACUUUGCGAGGGGCCUCGGGGUGCCAAAAAUAAGCCGCAGGCAAAGCCGCGCCCAAAAAUUGCCCGAAGGUCGUGGGGCCAAAACCCCCCAGCGGAAAAAUGGCCAAAAAACGGGUGGGCUAUAGCCUUGGUGGGGGGCGCGGGCGAAGUUCGUCCGCCGGACUCGGAAUGAUGCGAGCCUUUGCGAGGGGCCUCGGGGUGCCCGUGGGAAGUCGUAGGCACAGCCGCGCGCAAAAAUAAGCGCCCGAAGGUCGUGGUGCCAAAACCCGCCAGCGGAAAAAUGGCCAAAAAACGGGUGGGCUAUAGCCUCGGUGGGGGGCGCGGACGAAGUUCGUCCGCCGGACUCGGAAUGGGGCGAGACUUUGCGAGGGGCCUCGGGGCGCCAAAAAUAAGCUGCGAGCAAAGCCGCGCCCAACAAUAAGCGCCCGAAGGUCGUGGUGCCAAAACCCCCCAGCGGAAAAAUAGCCAAAAAACGGGUGGGCUAUAGCCUUGGUGGGGGGCGCGGGCGAAGUUCGUCCGCCGGACUCGGAAUGGGGUGAGACAUUGCGAGGGGCCUCGGGGCGCCAAAAAUAAGCCGCGGGCAAAGCCGCGGGCAAAGCCACGCCCAAAAAUAAGCGCCCGAAGGUCGUGGUGCCAAAACCCCCCAGCGGAAAAAUGGCCAAAAAACGGGUGGGCUAUAACCUUGGUGGAGGGCGCGGGCGAAGUUCGUCCGCCGGACUCAGAAUGGGGCGAGACUUUGUGAGGGGCGUCGGGGCGCCAAAAAUAAGCGCCCGAAGGUCGUGGUGCCAAAACCCCCCAGCGGAAAAAUGGCCAAAAAACGGGUGGGCUAUAGCCUUGGUGGGGGGCGCGGGCGAAGUUCGUCCGCCGGACUCGGAAUGGGGCGAGACUUUGCGAGGGGCCUCGGGGUGCCAAUAAUAAGCCGCGGGCAAAGCCGCGCCCGAAGGUCGUGGUGCCAAAACCCCCCAGCGGAAAUAUGGCCAAAAAACGGGUGGGCUAUAGCCUUGGUGGGGGGCGCGGGCGAAGUUCGUCCGCCAGAAUCGGAAUGGGGAGAGACUUUGCGAGGGGCCUUGGGGCGCCAAAAAUAAGCGCCCGAAGGUCGUGGCGCCAAAACCCCCCAGCGGAAAAAUGGCCAUAAAAUGGGUGGGCUAUAGCCUUGGUGGGGGGCGCUGGCGAAGUUCGUCCGCCGGACUCGGAAUGGGGCGAGACAUUGCGAGGGGCCUCGGGGCGUCAAAAAUAAGCCGCGGGCAAAGCCGUGCCCAAAAAUAAGCGCCCGAAGGUCGUGGUGCCAAAACCCCCCAGCGGAAAAAUGGCCAAAAAACGGGUAGGCUAUAGCCUUGGUGGGGGGCGCGGGCGAAGUUCGUCCGCCGGACUCGGAAUGGGGCGAGACUUUGCGAGGGGCUUCGGGGUGCCCGCGGGAAGUCGCGGGCACAGCUGCGCCCAAAAAUAAGCGCCCGAAGGUCGUGGUGCCAAAACCCCCCAGAGGAAAAAUGGCCAAAAAACGGGUGGGCUAUAGCCUUGGUGGGGGGCGCGGGCGAAGUUCGUCCGCCGGACUCGGAAUGGGGCGAGACUUUGCGAGGGGCCUCGGGGCACCAAAAAUAAGCCGUGGGCAAAGCCGUGCCGAAAAAUAAGUGCCCGAAGAUCGUGGUACCAAAACCCCCCAGCGGAAAAAUGCCCAAAAAACGGGUGGGCUAUAGCCUUGGUGGGGGGCGCCGGCGAAGUUCGUCCGCCGGACUCCGAAUGGGGCGAGACAUUGCGAGGGGCCUCGGGGUGCAAGCGGGAAGUCGUGGGCACAGCCGCGCCCAAAAAUAAGCGCCCGAAGGUCGUGGUGCCAAAACCCCCCAGCGGAAAAAUGGCCAUAAAAUGGGUGGGCUAUAGCCCUGGUGGGGGGCACGGGCGAAGUUCGUCCGCCGGACUCGGAAUGGGGCGAGACUUUGCGAGGGGCCUCGGGGAGCCAAAAAUAAGCCGCGGGCAAAGCCGCGCCCAAAAAUAAGCGCCCGAAGGCCGUGGUGCCAAAACCCCCCAGCGGAAAAAUGGCCAAAAAACGGGUGGGCUAUAGCCUUGGUGGGGGGCGCGGGCGAAGUUCGUCCGCCGGACUCGGAAUGGGGCGAGACUUUGCGAGU